ensembl:lncRNA
GAAUAAUUAUAUUAUUAUUGGGUUUUUGUUUGUUUGUUUCUAGCACUGAUCACAUAACUGUGGUUUUGAGCUAUAUGACAGACUCAUACUUGAUUACCCUCUUCUAACUCAUUUCAACACAUUCCUUAGAAUUCACACAUUAUUAUAUUGAAAUUAAAAACUGCCAUGGCCUUUCCAUUCACUCAGGAGAGCUAUUAGGUUUAAUUAUGGAUAAAUUCAUAUUUAUAUACAGCUAAUUUUUAAGGAUAAUUUCAGAAUUAACUUCUAAUAAAAUGUAAUAAAGUUGAACUUGUAAGAUGCAAUAAUGCAGUCACAAACAGUCUCACUAAAAUGAUAAUAUACUGGUGGUUUUAUAUAACAAACUUCUAGGGUUCAAAGGUGCUGAGAUGCGGAUCCCCAAAAAAGAUAGAAAUGGCUGUGGCGAACAUGGACUUCAAGAAAAAGGAUUAUAGGGUGAUGUAUAUUGGACGUAUACAGGAGGACUAGAUCUUUUGAAAAAGGUACAGUCUGAAGGACAGGCUGCAAGGUGGAGGCAGGAGAGAAUGCAGCUAGGAAGCAUAAAAUGAUAGUCUGUAGGAUGACUUUUAACAUCAAGAAAAGGAAGUGAGUGAAGACAAGAAGUAAGAAGAAAAGCACUUGUAUUGAUUGGCUAGGCAGAGAGAUCGAGCUGGAAAGGAUGUGCAGAAUGUUGGUGAUUAAGGAUAGACAUGAACAAGAGCAAACAAAAUAAGAGAGCGUAUACUUUGACGAGCUGAUAAAUAUAGGAAAUGAGAGGGGAGGAUGAAUGGAGGACACUAAAUUGGGAAGUGCAAAGCAGUGAGGAAAUAGGGAAAGCUAUAAUGAGGAUGAAGAUUGGAAAGGGAGUUGGUUUAGAUGGCGUACCUGUGGAGGUAUGAAGAUGUCUAAAAGUGAGAGUAGUGGACUUUUGAAUAAACUUGUUUAUCACAAUCUUGGAGAGUGAGACUAAGGCUGAGGGAUGGAGAAGAAGUGUACCGUUACCAAUUUUCAAGAACAAGGUUAAUGUGCAGGAUUAUAGUAACCAUAGGGGCAUGAAGGUGAUAAGCCAUGCCAUGAAAAUAUAGGAAAAGUUGUUGAAGCUAGGUUACAAAGAGAGGUGAUGAUCAUGGAUCAGCAGUAUGGCUUCAUGUCCAGAAAGAGCACUACCAAAGUGAUGUUUGCUUUGGGAGUGUUGAUGGAGAUGCAUACAAAAGGUAAGUAGGAGUUACACUGUGUCUUUGUGGGUCUAGAGAUAUUAUAUGAUGAGGUGCCAAGUGAGAAACCCUUGUACAGCAUGAGGAAGUCAGGAAGAGAAGUUUAUGAUGCUGGUGCAUAACAUGUAUAAAGACAUUAAGACAGUGGUGAGGUAUGCAGUAGAGGUGACAGAUGGGUCCAAUGUUGGGGUGGGAUCACAUCAGGGAUCUGCCCAUUUUGAUUGUGAUGGUGAUGGAUAGGUAGGCAGGAGUCUCUGUGAACUAUAAUGUUGGACUAUGAUGCAGAUGAAAUUGUGAUCUGCUGUGUGAGUAGGGAGCAGGGAAGCGAGUCUGGAGAAGUGGAGAUAUGCACUGGAGAGGAAUGAAAGUCUACAGAAGUAAGAUCAAAUCAGAGGUGGAAAGGUGAACAUGCAAGGAAUAGAGAAAGUGAAGGUAGAUGAGUUUAAAUGCAUAGGGUUAACCAUCCAACACAAUGAUCAGUUCACUAGAGAGGUGAAGAAGAGAGUGCAGGCGGGGUGGAGCAGUUUGAUAGAAGUAUCAGGGUGAUUUGUGAAAGAAGAACAGCAGCAAGAUAGAAAAGGACCUGUUAUAAUGUCUGGUUUGGAGACUGUGGCAGUAAGAAACAGACAGGAUGCCGAGCAGGAUGUGGUAUACCCGAAGAUGUUUUAAUUGACUGGAAAUGAGUACAACAGAUGACUAUACAGAUUGAGCAUUUUGGAGACAAAGUCAGACAAGCAAAGUUGAGAUGGUUAGGACAUGUACAGAAGAGGGAUAAUGGAUAUUGGACAAAGCAUAUUGAAGACUGAACUGCCUGGCAGGAGAAAAAAAAGGAAUAUCUCAACUGAGGUUCAUGGAUGUAGUGAAGGAGGACAGCAACAGAAUUGGUGUGACAGAUGAUGGUAGGGAGAGUGAGAUGAAGGAUAAUCUUAAAUGAAUGUGUCUGUAUUAUUUACCCUUUGUAGGCUAUGUCAACAUGGUGGUGAGACUUUUGUUUAUUUAUUUGACCACCGCUCAUCAAUCAGUCCUUGGCCAGAGUGGAUGAGCGUUAUACUUGGCUUUGAAACAGAAUUUGUUUUUGGAAUGCCUCAGAAUACAUCUCUGGGAUUAAGAAAACAGAAAACAGGAAGUUAAUAUGUCUAAGAAGUUUAUGAAAUACUGGGCCAACUUAGCUUGAGCAAAGUAAGCAUAACCAGAUGGUCGAGGCUUGAUUCCCCCUCAGAAUUGCUUUGAUUUUUUUUUUUUUUUUUACAGAAAUUCAGGGUCUGAAGGAACUAAGUGGCCUGUGUUUACCCUUGAAGAGCAGGAAUAUGUCAAACUGAACUACAACCAUCCAGAAAAAAGAUGAUGAGAGCUAAAGAAUGUCAGCUCUUGAACAAAUGUAUCCCCAAAAUACAAAGCAUGUCAGGUUAGACAUAUCACACACGUACACACCUACACACUCACACAUAAAUGCACCACACACAAAAGUUUCUUAAAUUUAACAGAUAAACUACAAAGAAAUGAUAUAUUCCACUGUGUGAUUAUUUACUUAACAAAAAUAGGAAAAUGAAAUGGGAAUUCCAUAAGAAUGAAAAGUUCCAAGGCUGCUAAGAACGAAACCCAAGUGCUGGAUACUGAAUUAAAGAUUUCACACACUUUAUUAUCAAAUGACACUGCGAGCUAGGAAGCUGUGAGCUCAGGAAACAUGCUCUGGAAACAUGCAUCAUCAACAGGUGUUACCAACUCUAAAAAAGCAAACACUUUGGUGCUUUGCUCUCUCCUGUCAGUUUUCAGUCUUGGACUCCCCCACGGCACAGCCCCAUGGCAAUCCUGUAUAACCUGGGAAAUAAACCAGAUCCAGAUAGUGGGACUCCUUACCGUUUUUUCAUCCCACUUUCCACCAGAUCUCAGCUACUGCAUUAGGGAGCCACAGCCAAAUUCACCUGUCAUCCCAGGUUCCAGAGAACUCUAACAUUCCCUCAGAGGCUGUUUUGGUGGCCAUCUUUAGUCAAAGAUUUGCGGAGUAUGUGGGAGCGUGUUCUGAAAACACAGAACACAAAAUAACUAACAGCCUGUUCAAUUCCAGCUGGAUUACUGAGACCCUUACCUGUACCUGGCCAGCUGUGGUCCCACAUCUCAUUGGAUUUCAUCAACGGGCAUCCCUCUGCAUCAUGUAACACCACUAUUUUUACAAUCAUUGAUUGUUUCUGCAAACCAGCCCAACUCAUUGCUCCUCCUAAGCUUCCAAUGGCUUUGGAAACUGCUCAGGUUCUAACCUAGCAUGUAUUCCGACUCCAUGGCAUUCCCCUGGACAUUAUGAAAUAAUGUUUUUGAUUGAGCCUGCCAAUUUAAACUGGAAAGAAUUCUACAUUUAAAUUGUCAGUUUGUCAUCAGUUUUCCAUCCACGACCAAUGAACAUACUGGGAGACUCGUUUAGGACCUGGAGGCAGCACUUUGUUGUGUGGCAUCCUCCAAUCAAACCAACUGGAGCCCCCACCUGGUGUGGGCUGAUUAUGCCAAGAACUCAUCAACAUGUCUUGAUGCAUGUUCAAUCAUCCAGCAUCUCCACCGCUGCCAGCACUUUUGGAGGGCAACCUGGAUGCCUUGUUGAAAAUGGCAACAAGCAGCGUGCUGACUGCCAUCAAGUCCCAGCGCCUGAGUACACCCCAGGUCAAAAAAUAUGGUUGCCUAUCAAAAAUAUCUUGUUGCACACUAAGUCUAAAAAACUGUCUCCAAGAUCGUUUGUCCCUUUGAGAUCCUGUGUAUCAUCAGCCCUGUCGCUGUCCUUCUGAGAUUACCCUGACAUGUGAAAAUUCACAACUCUUUCCAUGUGUCUCAGGUUAACCCCAUUCUGUCCAGCCUUCAACCUCCAUGAACUGAAGCAAUGUUGUAAAUAAGAGUGAGCCAAAAUUUCUCUACAACUACUUUAUAGCUGCUAUAGGUGGCUCUGCGGGGUUCUACAAUAUAGUUUUUUCCACAUACUGGUUCUUCAUUUUGGCUUAGUUUUGUUAAAUAAUGUCAGUGUAAUAUGUUAUUUGUAAUUGCUCAUCUGUGGUUUACCUAAUUAAGUAAAAUUAAGACCUAGUGAGAACUACAGAAUUGUCUAUUAUGUUCCGAUAUGUAAAAUUUUAGACUUAACAGGAAGUGUACUUUAUUUUAACCAUGACUUAGCUAUCUGUAGUAGAAGCAUUGCAUUGGGGUCUGAUAAGGAUUCUGCCUUGUUCAGCUGGUAGAGCACAUUUGCAUUCGGUCUUACUCCCCCUGUUUCACCUUAGUUGUGCCAGUCUGAGUGGGAGGUAAGGAGGAUCAGUCAUCACUUCACUGAACAGUGAUCACACACUGGGUAAAUAAUACUCAUACACCUCCAUACUCCUCCUUUCUCUGUAAUAAUAAACCACAUAGCAAAAGUUUAAUUGAUCAGGCAAAUGUUACAUUUCUUUUUUUAAUUUAUCUUCUGAAAACGAUAGGACAAGAAGGAAAAAAAACAACUAAUUGUACAAAUAGUCACACACACUCACAUACACACACAUCAGCUAAUGUAAAUGUGCUUUUAUCUCCAAAGAUAAGAUGUCAAGGAACAUAAGAUGAGGAAGAUCUUUUUUUCUUUUUUUUUUUUCCUGUAUAAGAUAUAAAAUCUGUUUAAAAAUAUGUUAAUUGAUUUUACAGUUGUUUAAUACACAUCUUUCCGUCUUCACUUUCUACUACCAGUCAUUAUCUGUAGUCUGCAGUGGUCAGUCUUUUUGGAAAAGGAAAUAGGUUUCUGCUAGUUUUUUAAUUGCAGGAGUUGAUAAAAUCUCAAAGUGAAUUUUUUCUUUUAAAUGAAAAUAAAAAGGACACCAUCAUGUAAACAAGAUAUCACAUAAAAUAUAUUACAUUGCUCUUUUAUUUGACCUGUUAAAGUGACUCUAAAAUGCUUUCUGAGCCCCCAUUUACAAAAUAUGGAGAAGUAUUGCCUCAGGUGGCAGAGUAGGUCAGUUGCAGCCAGCAGUGUAUGCAUCUGUAUUAGAAAGGAUGCAUUAAAUACAUUAAGUGGCUGAAAACUUUUGUUUACAAAGAUAUUUGUUUCAAAAAUAUUCGAACUUUAAUAUUACUUACACUUUACUCACACUUACAAUUUACAUACAGUAAUUCAUACAUGCACUAAGUCACUGUCAUGGAAUUUUAUGUCUGUAUACAUAAACUUUGUGACAAUUUACAACUUGUUCUAUGUGGUGUUCCAUCAAUAUUUGUCUCAUGAGUGUAAAUUCAACAAUACGGAAGAGGAUUAGGGCCACUGGAAAAAAAAAAAGUGGGC